rnacentral:rRNA from 1 species
CAUCGGCGUAGGGUGAGUCGGCCCCUAAGGCGAGGCAGAGAUGCGUAGCUGAUGGGAAACAGGUCAAUAUUCCUGUACCGAUCAAUAGUGCGAUGUGGGGACGGAGAAGGUUAGCUCAGCCAACUGUUGGAUAUGUUGGUUCAAGCCUGUAGUCGUGCCUGGUAGGCAAAUCCGCCGGGCUUAGAUGAGGGGUGAUAACGAGUCUGCUUGCAGACGAAGUGAGUGAUACCCUGCUUCCAGGAAAAGCCACUAAGCUUCAGCUAUUGACGACCGUACCGCAAACCGACACUGG